AUUGAACGCUGGCGGCGUGCUUAACACAUGCAAGUCGUGCGGUAACAGGCGUAGCAAUACGUGCUGACGAGCGGCGAACGGGUGCGUAAUACAUGGGAAUCUGCCUUUUAGUGGGGAAUAACCCGGCGAAAGCCGGGCUAAUGCCGCAUAAGAUCUUCGGAUGAAAGCGGGGGAGUCGUAAGACCUCGCGCUGAUAGAUGAGCCCACUGCCGGA
rnacentral:rRNA from 1 species